rnacentral:rRNA from 1 species
CUCCUUUGACGUUCGCGGCGGACGGGUGAGUAACAUGUGUGCAACCUACCUUAUAGUUUGGGAUUACUCCCGGAAACCGGGGCUUAUACCGAAUAAUCUGUUUCACCUCAUGGUGAAAUAUUUAAAGACCUCUUCGGCUGUCACUAUACGAUGGGCCCGCGGCGCAUUAGCUAGUUGGUGAGGUAACGGCUCACCAAGGCGACGAUGCGUAGCCAACCUGAGAGGGUGAUCGGCCACACUGGGACUGAGACACGGCCCAGACUCCUACGGGAGGCAGCAGUAGGGAAUCUUCCACAAUGGGCGAAAGCCUGAUGGAGCAACGCCGCGUGAGUGAAGAAGGAUUUCGGUUCGUAAAACUCUGUUGUAAGGGAAGAACAAGUACAGUAGUAACUGGCUGUACCUUGACGGUACCUUAUUAGAAAGCCACGGCUAACUACGUGCCAGCAGCCGCGGUAAGACGUAGGUGGCAAGCGUUGUCCGGAAUUAAUGGGCGUAAAGCGCGCGCAGGUGGUUUCUAAAGUCUGAUGUGAAAGCCCACGGCUCAACCGUGGAGGGUCUUUGGAAACUGGGAGACUUGAGUGGGGAGG